rnacentral:pre_miRNA from 1 species
ACACUGAUCACAUGGGGAGCUUGUUAAAGUUCAGAUUCUGAUUCAUUAGACCUGAGAGUCUACAUUUCUAACAAGCUCCCAGGUAUGCUGGU